GAUGAAUGCUGGCGGCGUGCCUAACACAUGCAAGUCGAGCGGCAGCGCGAGUAGUUUACUACUUGGCGGCGAGCGGCGGACGGCUGAGUAACGCGUGGGAACGUGCCCCAAAGUGAGGAAUAACUGCCCGAAAGGGUGGCUAAUGCCGCAUAUGAUCUUCGGAUUAAAGUCUUCGGACGCUUUGGGAGCGGCCCGCGUCGGAUUAGGGUGUUGGUGAGGUAAUGGCUCACCAAGCCGACGAUCCGUAGCUGGUCUGAGAGGAUGAUCAGCCAGACUGGGACUGAGACACGGCCCAGACUCCUACGGGAGGCAGCAGUGAGGAAUCUUCCACAAUGGGCGAAAGCCUGAUGGAGCAACGCCGCGUGCAGGAUGAAUGCCUUCGGGUUGUAAACUGCUUUUAUAAGUGAAGAAUAUGACGGUAACUUAUGAAUAAGCACCGGCUAACUACGUGCCAGCAGCCGCAGUAA
rnacentral:rRNA from 1 species